AUUGUACUCCCUCCGUUGCACAAUACAUGCCUUCUAUUUGUCAAAAUAUAUAUGUAUCUAGACAUGUUUUAGUAGGUACAUCCAUUUUUGGACAAAUGGAAGUCGAGUAUUUUGGAACGGAGGGAGUACACA
rfam:Triticum aestivum genome assembly, contig: Triticum_aestivum_CS42_TGACv1_scaffold_328291_4BS